rnacentral:misc_RNA from 1 species
GCAAACUUGGUCAUUUAGAGGAAGUAAAAGUCGUAACAAGGUUUCCGUAGGUGAACCUGCGGAAGGAUCAUUAGUGAUUUUGGAAGUGUCGGCACCAAGGGAUCGGCUGUGCUGGCAAAUGCAUGUGCACGCAGGCCCUUUGGUCCGACAUGGAUAAUCCACCAAACCCAUGUGCACCGUUUGGAGAGGACGUCCACGAGAGUGGGUGUCCACCCUCCAUUUUAACUACAAACUCUUGAAACUUGAAAUGUGGUCGGAUACUGGGUGCUUUUUUGCAUCCCAUAAUAGACAACUUUCAACAACGGAUCUCUUGGCUCUCGCAUCGAUGAAGAACGCAGC